GACGAACGCUGGCGGCGUGCUUAACACAUGCAAGUCGAACGGAAAGGCCCUGCUUUUGUGGGGUGCUCGAGUGGCGAACGGGUGAGUAACACGUGAGUAACCUGCCCUUGACUUUGGGAUAACUUCAGGAAACUGGGGCUAAUACCGGAUAGGAGCUCCUGCUUCAUGGUGGGGGUUGGAAAGUUUCGGCGGUUGGGGAUGGACUCGCGGCUUAUCAGCUUGUUGGUGGGGUAGUGGCUUACCAAGGCUUUGACGGGUAGCCGGCCUGAGAGGGUGACCGGCCACAUUGGGACUGAGAUACGGCCCAGACUACUACGGGAGGCAGCAGUGGGGAAUAUUGCACAAUGGGCGGAAGCCUGAUGCAGCAACGCCGCGUGCGGGAUGACGGCCUUCGGGUUGUAAACCGCUUUCGCCUGUGACGAAGCGUGAGUGACGGUAAUGGGUAAAGAAGCACCGGCUAACUACGUG
rnacentral:rRNA from 1 species